rnacentral:rRNA from 1 species
CCCUUAGAUGUUCUGGGCCGCACGCGCGCUACACUGAUGCAUUCAACGAGCCUAUCCUUGACCGACAGGUCCGGGUAAUCUUUGAAUCUGCAUCGUGACGGGGAUAGAUUAUUGCAAUUAUUAAUCUUCAACGAGGAAUGCCUAGUAGGCGCAAGUCAUCAGCUUGCGUCGAUUACGUCCCUGCCCUUUGUACACACCGCCCGUCGCUCCUACCGAUUGGGUGUGCUGGUGAAAUGUUCGGAUCGGCCGUUUGUCGCGGUUUCCGCGGCUCGUGGCUGAGAAGUUCAUUAAACCCUCCCACCUAAAGGAAGGAGAAGUCGUAACA